AGAGCGAACGCUGGCGGCAGGCCUAACACAUGCAAGUCGAGCGACCCGUAGCAAUACGGGAGCGGCAGACGGGAUAGUAACACGUGGGAACGCGCCCUUCGGUUCGGAAUAACUCAGGGAAACUUGAGCUAAUACCGGAUACGCCCUUACGGGGAAAGAUUUAUUGCCGAAGGAACGGCCCGCGUCCGAUUAGCUAGUUGGUGAGGUAAUGGCUCACCAAGGCUCCGAUCGGUAGCUGGUCUGAGAGGAUGACCAGCAUCACUGGGACUGAGACACGGCCCAGACUCCUACGGGAGGCAGCAGUGGGGAAUAUUGGACAAUGGGCGCAAGCCUGAUCCAGCCAUGCCGCGUGGAUGAUGAAGGCCUUAGGGUUGUAAAGUCCUUUUAACGGGGAAGAUAAUGACGGUACCCGUAGAAUAAGCCCGGCUAACUUCGUGCCAGCAGCCGC
rnacentral:rRNA from 1 species